rnacentral:rRNA from 2 species
AAAGCCUGACGCAGCGACGCCGCGUGAGGGAUGAAGGCCUUCGGGUCGUAAACCUCUGUCAGGAGGGAAGAACCGCCAUGGUGCUAAUCAGCCAUGGUCCGACGGUACCCCCAACGGAAGCACCGGCUAACUCCGUGCCAGCAGCCGCGGUAAUACGAAGGGGGCUAGCGUUGCUCGGAAUCCACUGGGCGUAAAGCGCACGUAGGCGGAUCGUUAAGUCAGGGGUGAAAUCCUGGGGCUCAACCUCAGAACUGCCCUUGAUACUGGCGAUCUCGAGUUCGAGAGAGGUUGGUGGAACUCCGAGUGUAGAGGUGAAAUUCGUAGAUAUUCGGAAGAACACCAGUGGCGAAGGCGGCCAACUGGCUCGAUACUGACGCUGAGGUGCGAAAGCGUGGGGAGCAAACA